GGUUCCUACGGGGGGCAGCAGUGGGGAAUAUUGGACAAUGGGGGGAACCCUGAUCCAGCGACGCCGCGUGAGUGAAGAAGUAUUUCGGUAUGUAAAGCUCUAUCAGCAGGGAAGAAAGAAAUGACGGUACCUGAAUAAGAAGCCCCGGCUAACUACGUGCCAGCAGCCGCGGUAAUACGUAGGGGGCAAGCGUUAUCCGGAUUUACUGGGUGUAAAGGAAGCGUAGACGGCAGAGCAAGUCUGAAGUGAAAGCCCGCGGCCCA
rnacentral:rRNA from 1 species